GAUGAACGCUGGCGGCGUGCCUAAUACAUGCAAGUCGAGCGAACGGACGAGAAGCUUGCUUCUCUGAUGUUAGCGGCGGACGGGUGAGUAACACGUGGAUAACCUACCUAUAAGACUGGGAUAACUUCGGGAAACCGGAGCUAAUACCGGAUAAUAUUUUGAACCGCAUGGUUCAAAAGUGAAAGACGGUCUUGCUGUCACUUAUAGAUGGAUCCGCGCUGCAUUAGCUAGUUGGUAAGGUAACGGCUUACCAAGGCAACGAUGCAUAGCCGACCUGAGGGGGUGAUCGGCCACACUGGAACUGAGACACGGUCCAGACUCCUACGGGAGGCAGCAGUAGGGAAUCUUCCGCAAUGGGCGAAAGCCUGACGGAGCAACGCCGCGUGAGUGAUGAAGGUCUUCGGAUCGUAAAACUCUGUUAUUAGGGAAGAACAUAUGUGUAAGUAACUGUGCACAUCUUGACGGUACCUAAUCAGAAAGCCACGGCUAACUACGU
rnacentral:rRNA from 1 species